AAAAAAAAAAAGACAAAAAAAAACAUAAAAUGGUAAAAAAUGAAGAAAAAAGUCUAUCUUUAAAGCUUUCAAAUCUUAAUCUUGAGGGCUCUGAUGGAUGGCCUUUUCGUGCCUUUCUAUUGUUGGCUGGUGCAGCUGUGCUUGUGGUGUUUGCUGUGCUGCUGAUUUGGAAGGAAGGGGAAAGCCUAAACUUCAAGAACUUAACAUCUCAGACAAAAGACAUAUACAAUGUUGCCCUUUGCUUUCUAACACUUUUACGGCAUUUAGGGUUCUUUCACUGAUUGAUAUUUAGUAGUUCAUGUCAUUUGACUUUGACUAUAUAAAUUUUACUUUUGACUAUUUCAAUUUUAUUUUUGACCUUUUAAAUUUUACUCUUGACUAUAAAUCCUUAGGUUUAUUAGUUAGUUGCAGUAGUUGAUUUAUUUUCAUUUUCUUGCUUGCUCUUCGGGCAGCACGGUGGCGCAGUGGGUAGCGCUGUCGCCUCACAGCAAGAAGGGCCUGGGCGACCAGAGUCCUCUCUGUGUGGAGUUUGUAUGUUCUCCCUGUGUCUGCGUGGGUUUCCUCCGGGUACUCCGGUUUCCUCCCACAAUCCAAAGACAUGCAGUCAGGCCAAUUGGACAUGCUAAAUUUCCCCUAUUCAAUCAAAUUCUUAAUAAAAUUCAACUCCCCCCCUUAA